UGCUAAUACAUGCAAGUCGAACGCUUCUUUCCUCCCGAGUGCUUGCACUCAAUUGGAAAGAGGAGUGGCGGACGGGUGAGUAACACGUGGGUAACCUACCCAUCAGAGGGGGAUAACACUUGGAAACAGGUGCUAAUACCGCAUAACAGUUUAUGCCGCAUGGCAUAAGAGUGAAAGGCGCUUUCGGGUGUCGCUGAUGGAUGGACCCGCGGUGCAUUAGCUAGUUGGUGAGGUAACGGCUCACCAAGGCCACGAUGCAUAGCCGACCUGAGAGGGUGAUCGGCCACACUGGGACUGAGACACGGCCCAGACUCCUACGGGAGGCAGCAGUAGGGAAUCUUCGGCAAUGGACGAAAGUCUGACCGAGCAACGCCGCGUGAGUGAAGAAGGUUUUCGGAUCGUAAAACUCUGUUGUUAGAGAAGAACAAGGACGUUAGUAACUGAACGUCCCCUGACGGUAUCUAACCAGAAAGCCACGGCUAACUACGUGCCAGCAGCCGCGGUAAUACGUAGGUGGCAAGCGUUGUCCGGAUUUAUUGGGCGUAAAGCGAGCGCAGGCGGUUUCUUAAGUCUGAUGUGAAAGCCCCCGGCUCAACCGGGGAGGGUCAUUGGAAACUGGGAGACUUGAGUGCAGAAGAGGAGAGUGGAAUUCCAUGUGUAGCGGUGAAAUGCGUAGAUAUAUGGAGGAACACCAGUGGCGAAGGCGGCUCUCUGGUCUGUAACUGACGCUGAGGCUCGAAA
rnacentral:rRNA from 1 species